rnacentral:rRNA from 1 species
AGAAUCAACGCUGGCGGCGUGCCUAACACAUGCAAGUCGAACGAGAAAGUGGAGCAAUCCAUGAGUAAAGUGGCGCACGGGUGAGUAACACGUGACUAACCUACCCUUGAGUGGGGGAUAACCUCGGGAAACCGGGCUAAUACCGCAUAAUAUCGAGAGAUCAAAGGAGCAAUUCGCUUAAGGAGGGGUCGCGGCUGAUUAGCUAGUUGGUGAGGUAAUGGCUCACCAAGGCUAUGAUCAGUA